CUCCGCCGGCGACCGGCGCACGGGUGAGUAACACGUAUGAAACCUGCCCGUAGCAGGGGGAUAAGCGGAAGAAAUUCCGUCUAAUACCGCGUAACAACCCGAGGAGGCAUCUCCUCGGGUUUAAAGGAAGCGAUUCCGGCUACGGAUGGUCAUGCGUCGCAUUAGCUAGUUGGCGGGGUAACGGCCCACCAAGGCGACGAUGCGUAGGGGUUCUGAGAGGAAGGUCCCCCACACUGGUACUGAGACACGGACCAGACUCCUACGGGAGGCAGCAG
rnacentral:rRNA from 1 species